GCCGCCGGAAUAGCUCAGUGNGGCGGG
rnacentral:tRNA from 1 species